UUAAGUAGAUCAUUGAGCAACACAACUGGAGUUUUAAUUGCCUUGCUGAUAGCAUUCCUUCAUAGAUGACAAUUCUCUUUGAUUGGGGAGCAACUACUGAAGCACUUUCUUCAUCAUUCCCUGCAUUCCUGAUGAGCUCCUCAAGUGAUGAGUUUGGACUGUUCCUUGCUGGGAAGGAGAAGAGUCUCUGUUCCAGUGGCCACCCUUGGAAGUGAUUCUUGUUUUCAAGUUACUGGCCAUUGCAGCUGGGUUAAGAUUUUUAUCACAAAUGCAAGAAGGGAUCAUGGACCCUUGGUUUUGAUGAUGAGAGCAAGGAGCAGCGAUCCAGCACCUGUCUGGAUAUUGCAGAUACUUUGUAUGUCAAACUAAAUAACGAUGCCUCAUCAACUAAAAGAAGCUACAGCCUGCGUUAGGGGGAGAACUGUUGUUAGGUGUCCUCGGGGUACAACAAGCGAGAAGCGGUUUGGUCGCUCCUGCACUUCCUCUGUGGGUCACAAGAUGGGGUACGAAUACUCAGAAAGAUGAUUGUCCAAGUAACUCAUUCAGCAGUGAAACACCAUCUUAACACUGUAUUUUGCUGAGGCACUGUAAUAAUUCUUGCUAGCACACAAACAGAAUUUACUAGAGGUAGUAGUUAUUAAAUGUUACUUUCCAGGAGUCAUAUUCAGAAAGUUUAUAAGAGGUAUGAGUAAAUUCAGUUGUGCAAUUUCAGUAAUUUACAGCUUGUGUUGGCUAUAGUGAGGAUUCAGUUUCUUACUGCAGCCUCUGCUCCUCCAGCAAUCACAGCUACCAGAUCCAUGAGGAGGGAUAUGGAAGC